rnacentral:lncRNA from 7 species
AAACUCUGGAGCUGCUGGCUGCUCUUUCCUGUUGAUAUUAGACUGCAUAUCAGCCUGAGGAGAAGAGUAAAACCUACUGUGAUCCAGUUAGGCUGAAGAAAAGUACCUUCUACAAUGUGCUAAUUCAAAGCUAAGCUUUUGGAGCAUUUUACAGUCUGUGAAACUUGCCCUGGAAGUUUUAUGGGAAGACACAGAGUGCUCUGUAUCAGAGUAAUCCAUGAGUACCAUGAAAGUGGUUGGAAAAUUCCCAUAUUUAAUUUUUUUUUUUAUGGAGUGGAGGGCUGUAACUUCCUCUUAGAAUAUCAGUCUGCAAUGCAGGAAAACAUACACUGCUGCUUUUAAGGAUGAGUUAAAUGCUUUUGCAUCAUUCAACUCACUGUGUUUUGACUCUAAAUCUAGUUUUGUCUGUGUAUGUAGCAUUAAAGACAAAAUUAAAAUGCAGUGUUAUGAUUGCUGUACUCAUCUGUCUUGGGAAUACUUAGGAGUUUUUCCUGACUUUUCUACCUAUACAGAAGCUGUAUAAAAGAACCAGAGGAAUCCUCUGCUGGUGCUGGGUUUCCUGACUGCAUACCUCUCCUGUAACCUCAGAUGGUUUCCCUCUCCACUGCAGUGACCCUGUGCUGAGGCCAGGUGGGAAGAAGGAAAAGGUGCUAAUUCUGCUGCAGUGUGGCAUUUAGCACCUGCUGUGGUCCAGGGAAGUUAGAAAGGCUGCUACUUCAUGCAGAAUUUGUUUCAGUGUAGUCCAUAUUCUUUGAUCCAAAUGCCUAACCACUUGUAUGGCUUUGUGUUAACUGUAAGAACUCCAUGCAGAAGUACAUGAACUUUCUGUAGGUGAUUGUUUAUUACAAAAAAAAAAAAAAAAGACAGGAGUGGGGAGGAAGGGGCAACAGUGGAAAAGAGGCAACUGAAAGUAGGUUACCUGUAAAAAAUAUUUUCUUUUAUACAAUACAGAAUCUGCAUGUUGGCCUAGUUGCUGUAAUAUAGAAGUCUUUCCAUUCAAAUAAUGUUGUAACUGAACUGUCUCAUAGGGCUGUUGUGAAACUAAUAAUGCUUGCUAAUUGCUUUGACACUUUCAUAAAAGUUCCUAUGAAAUUAAUAGCUGUUCUUUUAUUUCCCAUAUUACAAUUGUGUUCAGGAACCGGAAUAUCUACUUUUAUCAGACGGUGGGUGGUAUCUACUUCAGUUUCUGCUUAUUUCCCCAAGUUGCAAAUUGACAUUACAGUAGCAAAGAAGAAAAGUAAAUAGGUGGUCCUGUAUUUCAUUUCUCAUGAUGUCACAAGAAGAACUCAUUCAAAUUAAAAUAAUGUAUUUUUCACUGCACAUGUAAUUAGUAUGAUUAGGCAAAAAGUUCCACAGAUAGCUUUGGGGACAAAUGCAGUCACCUUUUAUACUAUUCCAUGAGGUUUUUUGCUAACUAAUGUAUUACCGGCUUUUCUGAUGAUAAUUUAAUUUCUCCUUCAGUGAAUAGUACAUACGUUGUAAAUUUAUUUACGGGUGAAACAUGAUUUCUUGUGAAGCGGUGUCUGAUGGUCUGUAGAGCAGUUCCUGGAUGUUUACAUAGAGAUAUAUUUUUUUAAGGAAAUAAACUAAAGGAUUAU